GAGGAUCAAGUUUGUUUUCCUACCCAUCUUCAUCCACCUUUUCCCGGCCAUGCAGAAUGGAGCUUCAAUUAUUUGACCAAAGUGAACAGAUCAAUGGAAUUGGUACCUCACAUAGAUUAUCUGUUUGAGAAAACAUCCUUAAGAUAAAAAUCAAUCAAAAGGGUACGACGGUUUUAAGAAUGCUAAAAUGCCAAGAGACUCUCCAGGCCUAGCCACCUUAAGGACCUGGAUGAUUAGCUGGUUGAAAGUUUGGAUAACCCUUCGGAUAGACAGUGAAUUAUUUUAUUUUUCCAUUUUGUGUAAGCUGAUUGCAUGGUACAUGUGACAUAAUUAUUUGAAAGUAAAUGUAUG